UACGUAGGUGGCAAGCGUUGUCCGGAUUUACUGGGCGUAAAGAGCGCGCAGGCGGUCGUUUAAGUCGAAUGUGAAAGCCCCCCGGCUCAACUGGGGAGGGUCAUUCGAUACUGAUCGACUUGAAGGCAGGAGAGAGAAGUGGAAUUCCCGGUGUAGUGGUGAAAUGCGUAGAUAUCGGGAGGAACACCAGUGGCGAAGGCGACUUCUUGGCCUGUUCUUGACGCUGAGGCGCGGAAAGCUGGGGGGAGCAAACAGGGG
rnacentral:rRNA from 1 species